UUUGACUCUUCGUCUUAUUUGAAUUUUUUUUGCGAUUAAUAGUUUUAUUCUUACUCGAUGAUAAAACAUAAAUAAUAUUUUAUAUGUGACUAAUUUUUUUUAUUUUUUGCAUAAAUUUUUUAAAUAAAACGAAUGAUCAGACACGAAAAAAC
rnacentral:pre_miRNA from 1 species